CGUUCUCUACCUACCUCCAGGGAAUCUCCAAUUUUUUCACCUCAGCGACUCUGCAUCUCGUGCUUAGGAUUUGGUCAGCGGGAGGCGCCUCCUGAGCGCGCCCAUCGCGUGCCGCCGGCGAGGCGGCUGGGACCUGUAGCCAUCGCCAACAGAGCUUGCCGCGGCGGAGGCGACGGUAGGAGGCGGAGCUCCGCACGGAUCUGCCAGGGUCCUCGACCCGACCUCGCGCCGCGAAGCGAGUCGGCGCGAUGGGCGAUGACCGCUUCCCUCCAUGAGCGAGCACAUCGGGGAGGAUGCGGCAACUCCGGCAAAAGCCAGCGCCCAACAGGGACCACCAGUGGCGGAAGCCUCGCAAGUCAGACAUGGAAGCGGGGGGUCAUGGUGAGAAUCUCGCGGCUCUGGGAGUGCCAUGGCUGCCCUUCAAGUUCCAGCGGCAGGUGACUUCAUCGACGUCGUUGACUACCUCAGCCACGCGCUUAAGAUCAGAAUCAGAUGUGUGAAUUUUGUUGACAAGCGGAAGGCUCCCUGCAGAUGAAAAAACGCACAAAGGUGAGUCAAAUGGAUCCCCCUUUCUUAAUUCAGCACGCUCUAUGUGAUUGUUGUAGUCAAAUGGAUCCCAUCACUAUUUAACACACAACCUAGUUCCUUAGCCUGAUCUGACCAUAUCGGAGUACAUGCUAUGUGUGCAGUCAUCUUGAGAGUACAUAUUCAAAAUUCAUUAAGCUAUAAUAUAGGCUAAUUUAGGUAGUUAUGUGGUUUUAAUUAGGCAAUAAUAUAGCACUAAGGUAAUAUAGUUUACUUCAUUAGGCAGUGUUAUUGAACAUUCCUAGUAGAUCAAGAGGUCGGCAAAAGAGAUAAUACUUACGUCUCCAUCCCAUGCCUCCAGUCUCUGUCGCUCAAGGAGCUCUACAAUGGCCAGUGCUGCUCCUCUUUGAUGACCCAGUCACCCAACCUCAAAACCCUCAAGUUUAUUUAGGCAAUUUAUAGGUUGAAAUUAGGCAACAAUAUUAUUAAAGAUGGGCAAUAAUAUGAUUCCCAAUAAGCAUUUCCCCAUAUGUAACAACAAAAAUAUCAACACUAGGUAAGCAUUUAGGCCAUUUAUAUGUAGGAAUUAGGCAAUAAUAUUAUUAUAGAUGCGCAAUAAUAUGUUCCCAAUAAGGUUUUUUCUCUUUCCCACUGGGUUUCUCUUUAGUUAGGCAAUAAUAUUGGUAGGAAUUAGGCAGUAAUAUUGUUCUUAAUAGGCAAUAAUAUGGGUUACAAUAUGUAUUUUUUCUACAGAAGGUUACAUGUGGCUUUUGCAUGCUCAGCUGCAGAAGCUGAUGAAUCAUCAUGUGGUAACUGCUGUAGCAUAAAGUAUUGCGGUAUGAAUAGUUGAUGCACAUGUAGGAGUAGCUGCAUCAGCAGAAAUUGUUGUGCUUGCGCAACAUGCUAAAUCAAUAUUCUAGUGUUAUGUCUAUUAAUGUCUAAAAUCUGAUGCUCACCGUUCCCUUCUUGUCACAGACAAACAAAAGUAUUUCUACUAAAUUUUAAAGCAAAUUCUUCAUACUAGAUCUAUAAAAAAAAAAGCUCUUUAGAACUAUUGCUCAGUUUUUGUGAGAUGAUCUGAUCCAUUUUCAUUGACAAAUAGCAGCAUUCCUCCUUUUUUUUCUCUCUUCCGUGGAGGUGCAGCAGGACCUUUAGUUUCUUUUUCUAUAUAUUGCACAUUGACAUCAACCCUGUCAGGGCUAUUUGAGAGGUCGUAUUCUCACAUUCUUGUGCAGUAAUAAGGUAUCUUCCUCUUUUAGUUAUGUUAUUUGCUGCGCUUACCUCCAGAAAAUACUAUCCCCCUAGAAACACAAAGAUGCAUUGACACUUGCAAUUUAGGCUAGACCAACAAGUAAUUUAUCCAUUGUGGUUCAGCAUUUUUGUGUUCUCAUUUUAGCAAUCAAUCGUAUGUUGAUAAAUUUUUCUGAAGAAAGCAUUCAUUUCUAGUUUUACAUUUUUAUAUUCUGAUCAUGUGCCCUCUUUUAUUGAUAUUGAUUCACUCAAUGUUUGGUGUUGUAGCAGGCUCAUACAAAUAUGACGAUCGAGUUAGUCCAUGCACUUUUUGGUGCUAGACGUGGAGGCCUGAAGACUUUCUUUUUUGUGAAUGUUUAGAUAGGUGAAAAUGCCUUUGUAUAGGUUCUAGUUUGCUUACAAUUUUUCAAAACUUUGUUUAAAAGGUCCCAAGUGUUGAUUUUUUUGUUUGUAACUGUCGAGUUGAAUUAUCAGUAUUAAUAAGAUAGACACGUUUAUGAAGCAAGCAAA